GAACGCAGGGGGCGACCAAGCUCACCCUCAAACCCUAGUUUCAACUUUUUGAUCAAAUUGAAGCCUCUAAAGUGAUCCAAAUCGAAUUCCAAGCAUAGAUUAGUGAUCAUCUCAGCAAAGUGAUCAUAAGGCAAGGAAUCCGGAUCGUCAAGUGGACAAGCCGGUGGAGACACGCGUUUGAAAGGAGCGCUUUAAAGGUAAUGUUGGCGAUACUCCGGAUGGCGAUCAAGCAAUAUGUCAAGAACCGAACACAACACUUUUGAAGCUUCCGCAUUAAUAUAUUUUGUUUUUAACUAAAUGUGAACAUGUAACUCUGGAUGUCACUUUUGUACGUUUUAAACUAGUAGGGAUGUGAAUCCUAAAUACUCUAAUCAUGUAAGAGUAUUAAACGUAACAAUUUUUUUGGU